GUUGGCAUAAGGAGCACAUAUUAUACACAUGGCUCCUGUUAAUUAGUCUGCAUUCAGUAUUGUGGUACUCUUUUUUGGGGCGUCAAGACUAAUCAUGAGAGACAGGUACUGAAUGUGGUGGUGAUUGCUCAGUAGUUCUUGUUGUUCUCACGUGAUCAGAUUUACAGCACAAAAGUGGAAAUUUUCAGAAGUUUGGCAUAAAGAGCAUGUCAUCUUGAACUUGCACUUGUGAUGUUGGUACCAUAAAAACAUUUCAAUAUGUCUCCAUUAUUUUGUAAUUGAAAUGCAGUAUUUGAUCGUAGGCCUUUAUGAAAAGAGUGGAAAUAGGAACGUAAGGAAAAAAAGUACUUUUUAGAAGCAAACUGAAAGGGAUACAAAGUUUAUGAUAAUUCAAAUAAUUGAUAGAAUCAAUUUUCAUAUGUUGAACUAAGGUGGUGAAGGAAUUUAACUAAAUAGAAGAAACAUAAUUCUGUCCAGGAACCUCACUUACGUAAAGAGCUGAAGUUUUUGAAUUUAUUACCUCCCAGUUAACAUGAAGCAGCAAAAGGAGAUUUAUUUUUGAAUAUGUCUGUUCAGCCCUUUCAUUUUAUUAAUGUCCUUCUAUCUUAUCAAAAAGUUGGCUAUUAUAAUCAGAAACUACUGCCUUCACUGAAGAGUAUGAUUACCUCGUCUUCAUUCAUAGCACAAGGCGUAUACUCUUUUCUGGCGAUAAUCACAAAAAAGUUUUCAUGUUAUCCUCUGCAGCUUAGUUAUGUUGAAAUGUGUGUUCGUAGUUGUGCAUACCAUCCCCUCUCAAAACAGAUAUUGUCACUGAUAUUUUUGCCUAGUUUAUUUGUGAGUUUUAACUUGGAAGUUACACAUGUGCUCUUCUUGUAGGUCAGGGAAUCUGGUUGAGGG
rnacentral:misc_RNA from 1 species